GAACGCGAAGAACCUUACCUACCCUUGACAUGCCAGGAAGCCCGCAGAGAUGUGGGUGUGCCCGAAAGGGGACCUGGACACAGGUGCUGCAUGGCUGUCGUCAGCUCGUGUCGUGAGAUGUUGGGUUAAGUCCCGCAACGAGCGCAACCCUUGCCAUUAGUUGCUACAUUCAGUUGGGCACUCUAAUGGGACCGCCGGUGACAAACCGGAGGAAGGUGGGGAUGACGUCAAGUCCUCAUGGCCCUUAUGGGUAGGGCUUCACACGUAAUACAAUGGUCGGUACAGAGGGCUGCCAACCCGCAAGGGGGAGCUAAUCCCAGAAAGCCGAUCGUAGUCCGGAUUGUAGUCUGCAACUCGACUGCAUGAAGCCGGAAUCGCUAGUAAUCGCGGAUCAGCAUGUCGCGGUGAAUACGUUCCCGGGUCUUGUACACACC
rnacentral:rRNA from 1 species